CACUCUCCAGGAGGUACAGCGACAUCCGGAUCAAAGAGGAGAAGGAGUCGUUACAGGAAGUGGCCAAUCAGAGAGGAGUAGCACGGCGAGCUCAGGGAUGGAAGAUGCACUUGUGUGUUGCUCAGCUCAUGCAGCUGUCAAACCUGGAGCAUGAUGUGUAUAGCAGACUGACUUCCCUUCAGGAGGGGCUAAUCCCUAAGAAGAGGGCCGGGGUCGACGACGAGCUGCACCGCAUUAACGAACUCAUACAGGGUAACAUACAGCGUUGUAAGCUAGUGAUGGACCAGGUUACAGAGGCCGGGA